GUAGUGUUUGGUUACGGAAUAGAUUUUGGAUGAAUGAGAAAAAGUUAUCCAAAUAAGUAUGGAGUGUAUUUUUGUACAUGCAUGCAUCUAGCUGGAAUCUUAUUGAAAAUGGAAGCAUAUGGAUCGAUUAGGAUCUAUAUGAAAUUUUUAGCCAAUGCUCAUUCUAUAUGUGGUCCCUGAUUUGUUGGAAUAAGGUUUUCCUAUUUGGUUGGAUGGACGAAUGAGGAAAAGUUAUCCGGAUAAGUAUGGAGUAUGUUUCAGUACAUGCAUGCUUUUAGCUGGAAUCUUAUUGAAAAUGGGAGCAUAUGGAUUGUUUUGGAUCAAUAUGAAAUUUUUAUUCCAUGCUCAUUAUAUAUUUUUUCCUUGAUCUAUAAUAUAAGACCAUUUGGUGGAAUAAGUUUUUUGUGUGUUUGGUUGGAUGGGUAAGUUUGGAGGUUAUUCUAUUAUGAUAUUGUUUGGUUGAAGGAAGAAUUUGAGGGAUAAUUUGUUUUUUUUUUUUUGGUUAGGACAAAACUGCCCUUACACCAUUUGUGAAAAAUGGUCAAGCAUAACGAGGUGAGAUUGAAUGUGGGUGCAACAACCGCCAACCAUGCCCCCUCGCCUGUGCCUCAUGAAUUUGUAGAAUAUAGUUUGGUCACAAUUGCCCAUAUAUUGUUUAUGUAGAAAUGGUUGUAUGGAUGUAUAUUGCCAUGUGGCAGUAUUGUGAUGCCUACCGUACACACUCCAAUUCAUCCACUGCAUGAUGUUUGGGCCUAGGGACUUAUUUUUGGGGGGGACAAAGUUGGCCUGCACUUUUUAUGCCAAAAAUGGCUACAUAGGAGUAUUGCCUUGGGGAGAUAUAGCCAGUCUUGCAAACACCUUCCAGCCACCCCCUUUCUCUUGGAUUGGCCACAUAUGACCAUAUGGUUGCCCGGCUUUGAUAAUAUUGCCAUCAGCUCUCACUUGUAUAAAAGUGACUAUUUAAGCAUUGGAUUCUUUCUAGCUAGGAUGAGGUAAUGUUGAUAACAGCAUGCUGAAAUUUUGGCGAGCACAUGUAGACAUACAUAUGCUAUCAACCUGCAAAGUAUCAUGUAACAGAAACUAUGAUCAUGUGAAAAAACUGAUCGUAUCACGUAUACAUGUGAGUAUAAAGGAAGAUAUAAUAAAGUAUAGACCAUCCACCCUAGGUACUAUGAUGGGAACCUUGCAAACUAUCUAUAUAGUAUUUGACUUGUGGGGUACACCUGUAACUCAACACAACGUUUCUAAUAAAGUAGUAUAAAUAGCUAGGUCAUCAUGCAAGAAGCUGGAAGAUAAGAAGAACCAUGCCAAGCAGGAAGACACGGACCAUCAUAUGUAUAAUGCGGUGUGUAACAGGAGGACAGGUGCAAUGUCAUGAUAAGUGCAGGAGGUGGACUACCACAAAUUGGCUUUUCUAGGGAGUGGUGAUGCCAAACAUGAUGGUGUGAUAAGCAUGAGUGGCUUCCUCGAGUGUUUGAAUUUCGCACAUAGAGCAUACCAAUGGCCACUGACCUGCCGCUAACACUGGGGCCACAUCUUUUAUAUCCUCCAAACAUGGCCGAUGAGCACCACAUGGUGUCCUCUUUGGAGUGCACUGGUUGGUUCCUUGUCAUAAACAGUUAAUAUUGUAACAAAGAAGACAUGCACGAUGAAAGAAAAAAAAGAGCAAUACAGGAAUGGUGGCUGGUUGAACAGCAUAUCGCCUGACUGCUCAGCCCCUCCCAUGUCUCUAGACAAAUGCUCUGGCGUGCUUGUAUGUGCCUACCGAGAUGUCACGGUCCUCAAGAUCACUAACAUCUUCAUCCAGGAGUGGUGGGUUAAACCUCAUUUUGAAGUACCUAUUUUUGCCCUGGUGGCAACGAAUGAAGCUAUGCAUGACAAAACAGGUUAUAACAAUAUCACAUUACAUCCUUAACUUGUAGGGUGCGGUCAUCUCAAAUAUCUUAAACUGGUGCUUAAAUAUUCCAAAUGACUUCUCUAGGACAUUUUAUAGUGGUGCAUGUUGGUUGUUGAAGCAGUUCACAGGGAACCUGUGUUGACUGGUUCCCAACUCUAGGGUACUCGUUAAUGUGAUACUUAAAGUUGCAACAGGGAGUUAGGAACUUGUCGAUGUUUGCAUACCCUGCAUUAACCAGGUAAACUUUCCCUGCACAUAUGAUGCAAUAAAACUUGUUUAAGACAUACUUCACAUAUGAUUCAAGUGCAAGUCUUGCUCAUUAAGCUGUGGCUUAAGUAACCUUCAAGUACCACAAAUCCUUGAUUUAUCAAGGCCUGUCAUGAGACCCUCAUUUUAGCACAUUUCUCACAACCCAUGGCAACAUAUAAGAAUGUAUGAUCUAAUGAGCAGGAUGCUAUGAUGUUGUGUGAGGUUCAGCCUUCUCUGUUCAGAUAACCUGGUCAGAGGUCAGGAUGUGGUUACCAUCGGUGCAUCCUAUGCAGUUCUGCAAGGGGGGAAUGUACAGCAGUUUAAUAUUGUGAAUCAAAGCAGUUCUCAUCAUUUUUUGGCACAUGAUUUACCUUGAAGGCAGGGUAGAAGUUUGGGUUGUCAUGGAUGCGAGUGUGCUAAGGCACAUUGCUGUUUGGGGGACUAUAUACUCAUACUAGAGAUGCUUUAUAGCCUUCAGCACAUGGUUGAAGUGGUAACCGAUUGUCUCUCCAGAGUGCUGGAAGGUCUCAAUGAGCACCAGAUUCAUGAACUAGUGAUCUAUGCUGAAAGGAAGAUGGCUAGCUGCUCGUAAGCAGUGACAUGCUUCCUAUCGGUUAUCCAGCCUCUGGACACAAAUUUGUCACAUAGUGCAUAGAAUAUAAUGGUGGUCAUCCUAAAAUAGUUGUAUCCACAAUGUGGAUGAUCAUUAAGGAUGUCCUAUAUGAGCAUGUCCCAUGAACAGCCUCAUUCAACAUGGCAACCUCUCAAAAUGUGCUGGCAUGACAGGGACAGGGAAUAACAAUUCAAAAGUCACAUCCCAUAGUCAGUUGUCAUCUCCAUCCCUGCACCAUGUGUCUAUGAUGGUUGACAAGAAAUCCAUAUCCAUCCCAGGACAACAAAGCUUCUGGUUAAUAGUCAAACAAUAACAGAUAAAUAGAUGAUUAAUCCACAAAUAGAAUGAACAUUGGCAAAUAAUAUAAUAACUUAUGGAAGUAUUCUAGAAAUAGUAAUCCAAUAAGCAUAAAUAUAUCAACAUGCUGCAGUGCCACAUGUCCAUCAGAAAUAGCAGUAGCCCAUAUUGGCUACAACGAAAUAAGGGCUGUCACAUGAGUGCAAACUACAAUAAUAGAAGGAUGUUCCAACAUAUAUGUAGUGGCAACAUCAGAAAACUCGGAGCACAUAUGAAGGUGUAUCGUGCUAUCAAUUUGUUGCCCUAGGGUGGAAUCACUACAGGCCAUACAACUGCUCUUCUUGUCCUCAGAUAUCUAGAACAAGAUCUGCUCAACAUCAGUUGGGAGUGGAUCCAAGGUCCUGCGAAUCCUCUUUGUGCAGUCCCCAAUGGAUGGUUUCUAGUUCUCCACUUCAAUUCUUCCAGUUCCAACUUCUGUCUAUCAGCUUCUGCAAGACUGUUCAAGUAGGCUGGAUGGAUCAUUUGCCCCUUCUUGCACGGGUUACAUCAGAGUCAGUGCCCUAGGAUGCCUUUUUCCCUGAUGUACUGCUCCUUGCCACACUGUAAGCUGAUAUCCUUUGACUGUGGAUAUGACUAGGUGUACGUGUCACCAAUUUGCAUAAUAGAAUUUUGAUUUAAUGUACGGACUUCAUGGAAUCUUGAUUUGCCCUUGGGUUGCUUAUCAUUUGCUUUAUCGAGCUUAUUAAAAAUGCCGCCACAGUUAAUUUUGCUUUGGAUUCAUGAGAAUUUCAAUGGUUGAGAUGGAAUGUUUAUGCCUAGAUAGUGCCCACUUUCUAGAUGGCAAAUUAUCCAGUGUCUGCUAAUCUUUGGCUGGUGCAUUGAUCUCUAGGAUAGGGUAUGCCAAGAUUGGAAAAUGGCCAGACCUGAUAAGAAUGAUAAUUUAAGGUCCAUUUGAAGGUGUCUGGAAGGAAAAUGCUAGCAAAAGAGGGUAACUAUCUGGUUAAGGUUUAAAAGGACAUUGUCUUUCUCUAGUUAGGUUAGAAUGCUGCUUAGGCCCGAAGACCUCUGAAACAUUCUUUUGGAUCUAUGCAUGUAUCAUAAGGGAUUAUAAAAUUUUAGAGAAGCAUCAUUGAUCACUAGGUCAUAUGUGUAUGUUGGAUAUGUAAUAGUAGGGACUUCGCCUUCAAUUUUUUUGUCAACUUACAUAUUCUGCACUUUGGAAGAUUCCUCCAUAAAAGGGAACAGUUGCUCUAAGGUUAACAUGGGAACCUAUAUGGAGUUGGAAUUCACAUUGCUGAGAGGGUGGAAGAUCUUGAGGAAGGAUGACAUCAGCUGGAACUGUAGCCCAUAAUGAUGGCAAACUGCUUAGUGUCCCCAAUACCUAGGAGCAUUGACUAUUAGCAAGUAACCAUAUAUAUUAAGGUUAGCAAAUAAUCCGAUAUAUUAAAACUAGCAAGAAACCCAAUAUACUAAAAGUAACAAGUAUUUUGGUUCAAUAUAUUAAAAUGGUAGGCUUUCAGAAACCCUGUCUGCUUAUUUGAGUACUGUCCAUAAUUGGAGAGGGGUGUCUAUCAUAUAACCAAGCAACCAAAAGACAAGCAGUUUGUUCUUAACUACUGUAAGACAUACUUGCACAUAGGCAAUCUGUCUCCUCUUUCACUUAAAUUGACAUUUUAUUUUCAACCCUAGGGCUGAUCACAUUUAAGUUAUGGUCAAUUGUUUCCUCAAAUUAUAACGUCCACAAAAAUCUUCUUUGACUAAUCCUGUUAUUUGAGUUCUCACUGGACUCCUGACCCUUAAAGCUGUCAAAACAGAUCCUAAGGCACCACUUUCUGUUUGAUUCCUUAAACACUCAAGGCCAUCUAAGCGACAUGCCUGGUCGGGUUUCGGUCGUUAUAUCAUAGCAACCUCAUAAAGGAUAAGCUUAUUGCUUCUAACUUGUUAUCUCCUGCCAUACUUUCAUAUGUGAUACAAUUUGGCAUGCCAUGCAGGUUCAUGGGCUAAAGAAGCUGUGCUUAAAAGAAAUUUUUGUACUCUUAGGGCCUAUUUCAGAAACCCAGCAGAAUUGGGCUGGAUUUUCCUAUAGGAAUUGGGCCUGUUAGCCUGCCGAGUGUGUUGUUUCUAAAGUUCCGUCCUAGUUUCGACCUAAGUCCCAUCUAUGGGCUUGUUGGACUGCAAGAUGAAAAAAACACCUAUGGAGGUCCAUAGGACUUUUUUUCCCCCUCAUAGGAUUUGGGCUGGAGAGGGAUUAGGUUGAUAUGGGUCUUAAAUAGACCGUGUAAUGCAUGAUCCUAUGGGAAAUCCAGCGCAGUUUAAUGCAUGAUCCUAUGGGAAAUCCAGCACAAUCCCACUGGAUUUCCAAAACAGGCCCUUAAUGGUUGCUUUUGGAUGCACUGUUCUGGUGAUCUUAUAGCUAUUGCCAAAUACUUGUCUUUUAUAUAUGGUAUUUGUUGACCAUUGAAUUUGAUCCAUGUUGGAUGAAGAUCAUCCAACCAUGACACGUUGUACCAGUGGAUGGUAACAAAAUCUUUGGUAGGUACCAUAAUAUUUGUUGUGGUAUAUGAAAUAAUAGAAUGAAGAAUGAGAACUUCAGAUAAAAACUUUUACCUAAAAACUAUGGAUUAUAAAAAAAAAAAUCACAUAAAGGAUACCAGGGAUUUUGUGUCUGUCCUUUGAUUUGUAUGCAAAACAAUUCUAAUUUUCUAGUCUGCUGCAUCCCUAAAUAAAUUCGAAUUUUGAUGUUCUGUUUCAGUGAGGUAUAUCCGAGACCGGUAUUGUUGACUGUAACUAAAAAGUUGUGGCUGAUGAUUCUGCAAAAGUUUUGAAAUUACACGUAUUCAACUUCUGAUUGUCAUUGCUUCUAGGAUUAACUUGCUUCAUAGUGUUACCUUGAGCAAAUUCCCUUGGGCCUCUGAUGAGAUUCAUUGCACAUGUGAUCUCUACUAUAUUCCUAAAAGGUCUGAGACUAUGGCCUGUGACCCCACUAUGUUGUUUAAGUUGGUUGUGCCUUGUCUGCAGCUUGAAACUUAAAGUUACUUCUAUCUUAUUUUUUUCUUUUGCCUCUGUACCCAUGGUUUCUUAGUCCAAAUAACUUCAUUUUGUUUCGAUCAUCUUUAUUCUCAGCUACAGACUCUUUUAGGGUCCCCUUAUUCUGCAUAUCUUGAUUUUGUUUUAGAUUCCUUCUCUCUUUCAAUGCAUACAUUGUUGAUCCAAAGAUCAAAUCUCCUUAAUCAGUUGACAUAUGGUUGACAGCCGGUUGAAAAAAUGUCAAUAACUAGGAAAUGGAUCCAAAUUUGAUAUGUGCAUUGAUUAGGAUGUUCCCUGACUUGGGAAUGAUAUGGAGGGGGCCCUAAAUAGGAAUACUUGGUGAAUGAUGAUUCAUAAAGCUGGGCCAAAUAGUGGGGAAAAGGCUGUAUAAUGGUUGUGGUUAGGGGCGUACCUUCAGCUGACACAAUAGCUAUAAGGAUCUAAGAUCACCUGGCAUGAACACUUAAACAUAAGCUUGAGAAAUAUCUUCCCACUCCUUGAGAAUGGAAGAUAUCACUGUUAAAACCCAGAUAUUGCAUCUAAAUAUUUUGGGUAUUAUUAUUGUGUCCAAAAUAUGUGCGAUGGAAAUUCAUGACCCACUUAGUUUUCCAGUUCUUGAGCAGUGUUCUUGCGAGCUAAGUAUUUGCUAAUGGAGGUAUGUCUUGAACUAGCCCUUCACCUCUUUUUUUUGUGCAUUUACUUUAGGUCUUGCAGUACUUUAUUCAUACAGAAGCUCUUCUUAUGUGACAUCUGUGAUGAAAUGGUACCUGUCUUGUCAUGCUGCUAUUUAGGUUUCUACUCCCAUUGGGGUAAGGCUCAGGUGCACCCUUAUAUAAAUCAGUUACGUGAAAAUUCUUUUUACUUUGCCAAUCUUUUGUGCAUUUACUUUAGGUCUUGCAGUACUUUAUUCAUACAGAAGCUCUUCUUCUGUGACAUCUGUGAUGAAAUGGUACCCGUCUUGUCAUGCUGCUAUUUAGGUUUCUCCUCCCAUUAGGGUAAAGCUCAGGUGCACCCUUUUAUAAAUCAGCUGCUUCAAAAUUCUUUUUACUUUGCCAAUCUCCCUUGCUGGUGUGCUGGUUUAUAAUUUAAUUGACUGAUCAUUCAGAUCUCAUUACUUCUCGCAUGUGCAUUUACUUUCAUUUUUUCUCAUAGCAUAAUCUUGAUGUAUACCUCAGUCUUUACCUCCUAAAGACAUUUAACAAUUAUUUAAUUUUAAGUUUUUUUACUAUAGACUGGAGAUGACAAUUGAUCAUUGUUUUCUUUUGUUGCAGUGUAAAGCUAUUUAGCAUUGGAUUUGCUGGAUGCAGGGGAAUGAUAGUUCAUUAUGCUGUUCCAUACAUGUUUCCGGCACUAAGGAUAGUUUAUUGAUUCUAGCUGCUGCUUAUACUUCUCUCUAGUUUCCUGUUUUAUCUUACCUGGUCAUCUUAAUGGUGACUUGUCAGUGUCUGGUCCCAGCUGGUUUCCUGGCUGUGGUCUGAUGGGUUUUAAUAUCAGCGUACAACUUGAUCUUAACUUUGUUAGUUCCAAAACCUUUGGAUAAGGGUGGGUGGGGUGAGGCUAACUGACUUAUCUUCUCCACCGUUCUCAUCUGACCAAAUUUCUCAGAGCAGACUGUUAUGACAACUGGAGCUUAGAUUUCACAAUUUCCUGGAAGAAUUGAAGCCACAGUUGUGCUGAAUGAUAAAUGUUAUUGCAGUAUACGUCCAAGAGUGAUUUGGAUUUUCUAGAAUGUCAUUAGAAUUCUGCAAAUGUCUAUUAUUACGGUCUAAAUUACUAUUGGAUGCAGAUUUUCUGAUUCAGUGCCUAGUUUCUUUUCAUUUAGCAGGGAAACAAACUAAUCAGAACAUCAGAAUGAAGACAGCAAGAGUUUCCGCUGCAAUUAAGUUUUCAAACUCAUUUUGGGAUUUGCUGCUUUGCUUUUAUGGUAAAUCUUUUGCUGCAGGAGUUCAGUGACAAAUGCUAGAACAAGAAAGGUGCUUAAAUUUAGGUCUAGCAGCUAUUUGUUUUUCCAAGCAUGGUUUACGUUGAAAUUUUUCAGUUCGCAGUUUAUGAAAGUCACUUGCCUGUGUAUGUAUGAAUUUGAGCUGAAAAUGGAUUGAAUGCAGAUCAGAUAUCAGUAUAUUUCUAUUUCUUUCCAAAUCCAAAUGCAGAAAUGGAUAUUAUUUGGAUGAAAAAUUCAUAUCCAUAUGUGGUUUAGGCUGAUACGGAUACAAAUAGGGAUGCUGAAAGUAUGCUUCUGUGGCCAGAAAACUGAAGUUACUAUUGAGUAGAAGGUGUACAUAAAGCCAUUAACAUGCUAAUAUGAUUAUUUAUUUCUUGUAAAAGUUUAUGUAUGCUAUACAAGAUUAAAUAUAAUUACAAACAAAAUUGAAUAUUAUCCGUAUCCAUAUUUAUAUUCAUUUUUUUUUUAUGGAUACGGAUAGGGAGAUAAGUUUGGAUAUGAAAAUAGCGGUGUUACCGUGUCUGCUUUUGCUCUUAUUUUGAGCUUAUAGGUUGCCUAUUGAUUGGUGCGUAGGUCUGCUUAUCUUCUUUAAUAUUCCUUGCGCUUCAUAUUUUACAAGUUUUUGUUUUCUCCUAUUCCUGCUUGGGUGAAAUGAUCAGAGUGCUUCCUCAUCUACAACAAACCAUGGUGGUAUUGAUUUAAACAAUCACCUUACAGUCCGCUAACAAAGGAUCUGAUAGUAAAGUUACAUGGCUACCUAAGAGAUAUAAUGCAUUUGCUGACGCUCUGAUGAUAAAUCAUCAUCAACCUUAAUGUUGGGCAAAAUAAUUCAGGCUGGUUUCCAGAUCUGGUGCGGUUUGGGCCUGUUUAAUACACACCAGGCAUCGGAUGCGGUCGCUGUGAGGCAAAGGCGGUAUUCGUCGGCCUUGUGAGGAACUCAACAGCUAUACUUGGGAUGGCUGACUGAUUUCGGAGGGGCUUGGCGGCCUGCAAUUGCAAUCCGUUUGCUAAAAGGAAAAAAAGGGAAAAAGAAUAACCUGGGUUGGGAUGAAUGGAUCAUAAUAAGACUUUGAAUUUCUGUUAUUGAGAGGGAAAAAACAUCAGAGAGAGCCCUGCUUGGCGUGACUGGAUCACAGUAAAGUUUACAAAUGAUAUGGUAUCCGUAAUAUCGGAUCCCCACUGAACAUUUAUCAACUGUUGUAAUAGUCUAAUAACCGUUAUCACGAAAACCAAUUUUUCAAAAUUUUAAUAUUAAAAUAAUUACUGAACAAUGAGUUUUAUAAUGGAAAAUAAAGGGUAAUAAUGGAAAAAUAGCACUGUUAUCUUCCUUUUGUUUUUCAUUAGAUGAAAUAUUUUUUUUUUUUUUGGCAUGAAAAUCAUUUUUUGAGUAAAUAUUAGGGUAAAGAGUAUUAAUUUUGUAAAAAAAAAUAUUAUAUUUACUAAGUAAUGAAAAUAAUGGUUGUUAUUUACGUUAUAAUUGUCUACUAUAAUGAAAAAUAAGGGAAAAUAACAGCCAUUAUAUAUUUUUUUACUAUUUAUCUUAGUAAUGUAACCAAGGAUGAUGCAAACCAUCGUAAUGGCUAUUAUAAUGGUUGCAGUACCGUUAUUUAAGAUCACGUCCUAUAUGUUCUAGGUCGAGACAAUAAGUUUGACCCAUGUGUCCGUAAUCAAUAUUAUCUUCACUUUGAAUCUUUCAAAGAAGUUCCCAUCACCAUAUCAGGGAUGUCAUUGGAGUGGAUUCGGUAUGCUUAAUUAAAAAAAAAGAAAUUGGAAUUGAAAUCCACCAACGCCCUGCGAAAUCAAAAUUUUCAAAAAGAAACUAUAGCUACUCUAUAAUUUAAUAAAUAUUUUUGUUAUUCAUUUCUAAAUUUUUAUAUAUAAUAACCAAAUUAAAGAUAUCAUCCGUAAUUUUUAUAAUAUAAUUCAUAUCAAUUCAUCUAAUAAAGGAUAUUAAAGAUAUUAAAUAAUCGGAUAUGUUCAGUUUUAGAAUUAGGUUUCGAGUUUGAUGAUAUGUUUGAUUUGUGAUUUGAUUUUGGGUUGAGGAAUCAUCAAAAUCAUAACCAAAACUAGAACUUGAUGAUCUUUAAUUUUUAAACAUCCGAAAUCAUCAUUCCAAUUUAAUUUCUUUUAAAACAGUCCCGUUCAUAUAGAGGAUAGGUAAAAUACUCAGAUAUUCAUCUCUAUUGACAGUCCGGUUAUGAAAUCUUUUACUUCGCACUACACCUACGCCCACAAAACCAAAAACAAGAAGGAGAAGAAGAAGUAAGAGAGAAAAACAUAACUUCCAAUGCUUGCUGGACCUCUAGACAAGAAAGCCCCGAUCAUGGGGGAGCCUCACGUCAAGCAGCAAAAUUUGAACGUUGAAAUAUUGUCUAUUUUAAUGAGCUCCUUGUAUUAAGAAUAUGAACGAAGAUAUCAAUUCAUCUUGUUUGAGAUACAUAGGAAAUUUUUAAGAGAAUUAAGUUGUUGAUGUGUCGAAGUCUAUAUAGUAAAUCCUGCAUCAACAAUUUUUCGUGAGCUUUGAUUUUUGACAUAUAUUUAUUACAAAGUUGUUCAAUUAAGUUAAAGAACGGUUGAAACAUCUUGGUCAAAUAUUCUGGUUAUCUCAAUAUACAUAAGCUGAGAAAAUAAGCGGUUUACUUACAGAUACAUUGUAUGAGAGGAAGUAUAUGACUGGUACAAGCCAAUAGCGUCGCCGAGAUCGAUGGAACCUGACAAGCAUCCGAUGUCUGACCUUCCAUCAUCCAAAGCUGAUAAUUCAACAGCUGACCUACCUACUGCUCCUGUGCAUCUUGAUCAUUUUCUCAGCUUCUAAUACCUACCUCAUUUUGUACGGAGCUACCCCAUCACAGGCUCUAAACAUGCUUCUUCCAUACAUCUCUCUCUUGUCAAGCCGUGCUUAGCUCAUUUUCCAGGUUCCCCCGUUCUCACGUACUUUCUGUAGCUACAC
rnacentral:lncRNA from 1 species